AGAACACCCGGGAAAGACAGGCUGCAGAGCUCUCAUCUCUACUCUGCACCCCUUCUUCCCAAAGAUGGAGCAAAUGGUAGACUCACUCAAGUCGUAAUGGUGGACAACCUCCAUGAUUUUCUUGCCAUCUUUGAUCAUAUCCAAGAGUUCCUCCUUCUCCUGGAUGACAUCAUGAUUCCAUCCUGACUUCCCUGGGCAGAUGACCUUGCCAAUGUGUCUUGGAACCUCACUGCUUCAGAGCCCUGCUCCACUAGAGAAAGAUAGAAACAGGUUGGGAGUGUG